CUUGGGGAAUUAUCAACUUGCUGCAGAUGAGGGCUCUCACCUGGCAAAUUAAUUUCCACUUUUAAAUAGAUCCACCCUGACUACUGACUGAGUCUGGUUGUUGUGUGGGUCCCAGCACUACCUGCAGGAAUCACAAAGCCCAGCCCUGAAGUGCUAUUUUUAUUGUGGUAUUAUCAAGCUGCCAACCAAGAAUGAAGACCCAAUAUAGUGGGAACAACACAAUGGGAGAAUAAGACUCUCUUUUCCCCAAGAUCUGUCUAAGGCAGGACCAGGUGGACAGUGGGGCUAAUGUGCAAUGCAAUUAAAUCAUAUUUAACAAAGCCCUUGGAGCUGCAGCCUUUAUGGAUGGAUGAUGAUGGCUUGAAGAUCUGCACAAGUUGAUUCAGAUAGUGUUUUUCCUACACAAACUAACUAGGGUUCCAAUUGUUUGUCACUGAACGCCGUUUAUUGCAGAAAACAUGAUUAUUUUCUCAGCAUUUUGACAGGAAAUACAGGGGAACUGCUCCACAUUACUCCCAAGAUCCUGGACACAGGGGAACCAGUGAGGCUUGGCUAAACUCGGGGGUGGAAAACAAGAAGAUGAAAGGGGACUACAUGCUUCUUCAAAACUGUGAACCAAGCCUUAUCUCAACUCUCUGAGCAUCAGCAGAAAGGUGGAGAGAAGUAAAAGCACAGCCUAUGGUUUCAAGCUGUAUUUAUCCACUGGAAAUGGAGAAGACGCUAGAUGGGAUGUAUUUGAGAUGUUUAAUGGAUGCUGAUAGAAGAUAUUGUGCAGUACCUGACAUAAGUUCUGGGAUUCUCUAUCUAAAUUGUGUUAGAGACUGGAAUGUGUAUCACAGUACUUAUUUCUUUUUUCUAAUAUCCACAGUUAGCUACCUAAACUGCUGUCUAGUGGGUGCAGGAUUGAAAGCACUCCUAUUUAUACAAAUAACCAAAAGCUUUGUGGCCCGGGAGAGAGAAAAUCAGCUUACGCUAAUUAUCAGAAGCCAGCAAGGUAAGGCUCGCAGAAGGUAAAUUUGGAUGUCUGCUGCUGUAGAAAUUGGUGCUUGUGGGGAACCUUUUAAAACCAAUUUUCUCUGUUUUCUCUUGCAUGCAGUAUAAUGGGAACUCUGUUUUCAAUGAACAGAAGAGUUUGUAGAAAAAGAUAAUAAAUUUAGUCAUUUUCUAUUUCAUGGCAUUAUUAUACAUGUUUUAUGAUGACUGUACAAUGUUUGCCUACCUAGCUCUUCCUAUGUCUUAGAGUGAUUUAAUCUUUUUUAUUCCUGGUUGUAAAUUGGUUUGUUUCCUUGGGCUCUUGUUUUGUCAAAGGGAUGUUUUGACACACUGCUGAGCUAAGUGAGGUUAUCCCAAUUACAUUUGACUGAU